GUUGUCCAGGACUUGGAUGAAGUCGCCGCGUCGGAAACCCAGCUCUCCUUCCUCCUGGGGGUCGAAGUCAAAGAGUGCCUGCACAUAUGUGGGAUGCUGUCCCAUCAGGAGACGGAAAAGACGAGGAGAGACAUAUUAGAUAGCUGUCCCUGAGACCUCCAGGCUACAAGCUUCAUGGGAGCUAACUCCCUCCUACCGACGUCCGGAUUCACGCAAAUAUCACACACAUUUUUAGAUGAAAUCUACAUGAUUCUGUCCAAGAACCGACUAUAAUAUUUUAUAGGUUACGUGAACUAUCCUAGCUCCAUGCUCCUUAGCUAAGCAUGAGUGCUGCUGUCUUUUCUAAGACAAUAACUCAAACUGAUUAAUCGUUUAUCAAAAUGGUUGGUGACUAAUUUAAUAGCUGACAACAUAUUUAUUGUAUUGUGUAAUGUUAUAGGUAUACUGCUGGAUUAUUAAAAGAUUAAUCACAAACAGA